AAAAAUUUAUAUUCUAGAUAUCUUGAGUGAGAUGACCUGUAUUGACCUAUAUAUAAAAAAUAUAUUCACUAGAUUUUGCUGUGUAUUUGUUCAUUGACAUAAGCUUGAUUUUGGUCUUAUGCAUCUGUUUUGGUGCCCUCAUCUGGGUACUCGAAUACUCACUUUCCAUCCUUGACUGGUAUGGAAGUCAGAUUGGUUGCUUUUCUUCAUUGGGAUGGGUAAUGGUAACAUAUACAGAUUAAAAUGUUAAUCGAGUGCUUCUACUUUAUGUGAUUUACAUUUCUAAAAAAUUUUAGGUUCAGUCUACCGUGUUUGAAUGGUUACUAGCUUAUAGGUAGACUUCUAUAGAAGUGCUCUGAUCAGUUAUUGGCCUAAAAGACUUUGUAUGGUUCACUUGCAUUUAUAAACGAUUUUUAGAAGGAUUCAUGAACGAAACAGGAGUCCGACCGCGGCCUCCGCCACCCGUACCAGCGCCGGCCUCUACUGGCCUCCUUCCCUCUCUCCGCCUUCUCUCUUUUCCUCUCCAUUCUUCCUCUUCCCCGUCUCCUCUACUGUAUAGGUACGGGCCCGAUGCGGGUCCAUACCAACUUGUCCCGCUAGGCAACCGGUAUGGUGCCCGGUACUGGUUCCGCCGAUGUUGAUUUGUACAUUUACUUCUUUUCAAUGCAUGCUACUACUGGAAGCUUUUAAAAGUAGUUCGUUAAGGAUAUCCUCGGGUUUAUCCAAGCAUCUCAUGUUACUCUUCUUUGUAUCACUGCUUAGUAUUAUAGUACUCAUUCUGCCUGAAUAAAAAUAAUAAAAAGGUUACCUAAAAUCUAUUCUGUAUUUUGAGAGAGACAGUUCUGAAUCAGCUUUUAUAUCAUGCUUUGAUGAUACACUUCUACUGGACAGUAAUAGUCUUAAUUUUUUCUCUCACGUUUAUGCUUGGGAUUUAUGUACAGGAGUCGUUUAAGAUUAUGCAUAUUUAGCUUUUUCUUUAUUUGUGACUAAAAUUAUUGCUACUUGACUUUUCAGGAUUCAAAUUAUAAAAGUAUGUU
rnacentral:lncRNA from 1 species